GUACCGUGAGGGAAAGAUGCAAAGAACUUUGAAAAGAGAGUGAAAUAGUGCUUGAAACCGUUGGGAGGAAAGCGAAUGGAGUUGCUAUACGACCAGGGUGUCUCAAUCUGGCACGCAAGUUGGUUCCGGUGUAGUGACCCUGUGUCUACGUUCGUGGAGUGGUACCUGUCCUGGCGCGUGACUAUUCUAUCAGCAAUGAUAAAAUGAGUGCUGACCAGACGACGGUGGUCUCAAAGAAUUUAUACCGAAAAAAAAGAUGAAAAAUCCCAAAAUUCUACAUUUUGAUCAAAAUAUCUUUACUUUGUAAAUACCGCAAGGCAGUUGCAAAAAAAGAUGGAAUUGGACAAAAUAAUGAUAUGACGUGAUUAAUUAUCAAAUAUUUUUUUCGGAUGAUAAUACGGACGGAAGGGCUUCAUUCGACCCGUCUUGAAACACGGACCAAGGAGUC
rnacentral:rRNA from 1 species